rnacentral:rRNA from 1 species
UACGUAGGGUGCGAGCGUUAAUCGGAAUUACUGGGCGUAAAGCGUGCGCAGGCGGUUUGUUAAGACAGAUGUGAAAUCCCCGGGCUUAACCUGGGAACUGCAUUUGUGACUGGCAAGCUAGAGUAUGGCAGAGGGGGGUAGAAUUCCACGGUGUAGCAGUGAAAUGCGUAGAGAUGUGGAGGAACACCGAUGGCGAAGGCAGCCCCCUGGGUCAAGAUUGACGCUCAUGCACGAAAGCGUGGGGAGCAAACAGG